AAAAAAAAAAGUAACUUUGAAGGCCAAACAGUUAUUGUAAAAGAUAUUCUUAGAGAAAAAUUGUUUUCAUGAAAGGCAUUUUGGUCUAGUUGAUUUUUCAAUAUCUUUUACAAUCCUAGGGAUUGUUGAUCUGAUGAUUUAGAAAUACACAUUUGAUUAGUUCAGCAAACAUUUAUUGGGCUUCUACCAUGUGCUUGAGUCACUGAGGUAUAAAGAUAAGGCGAACUGCUCUUAUGAGACAUAUAUCAGAUUAUUUUGAUUAGAAACAUGAUCUCCAGAAGAGUGGAUGACCUCACCAGAAAUAUAUUAUUAAUAUCAAAGGAAAAUAAUAAUACGGGCCUGUGCUAAGUCUUUUUGCCUACCCCAUCAGUCACAGGGAUGGUUAGAAUGUUCAAUCAAGAUCACUGACACAUGGCCAGGCAUGGUGGCUCACGCCUGUAAUCCCAGCACUUUGGGAGUCCGAGGUGGGAAGAACGCUUAAGCCCAGGAGUUUGAGACCAGCCUGGGCAACAUGGCAAAACCCCGUCUCUACCAAA